rnacentral:lncRNA from 1 species
AAAUUAGCUGGGUGUGGUGGUGGGUGCCUGUAAUCCCAGCUACAGGGAGGGUGGGGCAAGAGAAUCACUUGAACCUAGUAGGCAGAGGUUGCAGUGAGCCGAGAUCAUGCCACUUCGCUCCAGCCUGGGCAACAAGAGCAAAACUCCAUCUCAAAAAAUUUUUUAAAAAUAAAAAUACAAAAAUUAGCCGGGCGUGGUGGCGGGUGCCUGUAAUCCCAGCUACUGGAUUGCUAAGGCAGGAGAAUUGCUUGAACUUGGGAGGUGGAAGUUGCAGUGAACCAAGAUUGCUCCACUGCCCUCCAGCACAGGCGACAAGAGCAAAACUCUGUCUAAAAAGAAAAAAAAAAGAAAAGGAAAAGUCCACACUCUGAGAUAUUAGGGGUUAAGACUUCAAUAUAUGAAUUUUGCAGAAACAUAAUUCAAUCCAUAACACACCCACAUAGAACUUUGUGCUCUGUAUCAUAAUUGCAUCAUAUUUAAUAUAUUUCAUAUCUUCCAAACUGUUAAUGAAAAUGACAACACCUCUUUUAGGUUAAAUAUUUACUCAAAAUAUUAUGCCAUUUAAAUGAAUCAAGGUUUAGGAGAAUAUCUACUCAAGAAGAAAAUUGAGAGUGAAAACCGUCUCUCUAAAUUGGAGAGCUGAAGACUGAAGAGGACAGAUUUUCUUUUCCGUGAUCUUCUUCAAGGACGAGAACUUUAUCAUUCAGCCUUCUAUGUCCGUAGUGCUCAUCUGCUCAUCACACGGUAGGUCCUCAUAAAUGUUUGCUCAGUUAAAAUGCAGCUUCCAGGUCAGGCGCAGUGGCUCACCCCUGUAAUCCCAGCACUUUGGGAGGCCAAGGCAGGUGGAUCACUUGAGGUCAGGAGUUCAAGACCAGCCUGGCCAACAUGGUGAAACCCCCUCUCUACUAAAACUAUAAAAAUUAGCUGGGCAUGGUGGUGGGUGCCUGUAAUCCCAUCUGCUCUGGAGGUUGAGGCAGGAUAACCCGGAUGCUUGAACCCAGGAGACGGAGGUUGCAGUUAGCCGAGAUGGUGCCAUUGCACUCCAGCCUGGGUGAGAGAAAAAGGCUCUGUCUCAAAAAAAAAAAAAAAAAAAAAAAAAAAAAAAAAAAAAAGUAGCUUCCAUACCAAACGUCUUUUAAUUUGGCCUGUUAUAUAAAGAUGUUCUAAAAUAUGUGGUCAAAAGGAGGAACUAUGUAUGUUAAUUAAACACACCAAUAUACUUUAAGAAGUUAUUGUCUAAAUGCCUUUCUAAAGUGAUAUCUAUUUUGUCCCAAUUACAAAUUAUUCAUGGUUAUUCCUAAAACUGGUAAAUGCAGAAUAUUAUAAAGAAAAAAUACAAUUCACUAACAAUCAUAACCCUCUUUGACAUUUUGAGACAUUUCUUUCUAAUUAU